rnacentral:rRNA from 1 species
GGGGGGGGGGGGGGGGGGGGGGGGCGGGUGCGGGGCGGGCGGCGGCGCAGGGCGGGCGUGCGCGGCCGGGGGGGGGGUGGCGGACGGGGGGGGGAUCCGUCGGCGCCUACUUCUUCGGGGGGGGUGAGUUAUGGAACCUUACGCUAAUACCGCACCCGACCUACGGGUCCCCGGCUGGGAUCUUCGGACCUCGCGCGAUUGAAGUAGCCGAUGUCGGAUUAGCCAGUUGGCGGGGUCAAGGCCCACCAGGGCGACGAUCCGGAGCUGGUCGGCGAGUAUGAUCAGCCACACUGGAACUGAGACACGGUCCAGACUCCUACGGGAGGCAGCAGUGGGGAAUAUUGGACAAUGGGCGCAAGCCUGAUCCAGCCAUACCGCGUGGGUGAAGAAGGCCUUCGGGUUGUAAAGCCCUUUUGUUGGGAAAGAAAAGCAGCAGGUUAAUACCCCGCUGUUCUGACGGUACCCAAAGAAUAAGCACCGGCUAACUUCGUG